ensembl:lncRNA
GUCUCCACUUAUCCUUUUGUAGUAUUGAUGUAGUAAAGAUUUGCAAAGUGUUUGUGUAACUUUUUAAAGCAUUGUGCCUAAAAUAGAAGCAAAGUGAAUGGCACAGGAGCCAUAUUCUGUGUUUUCUUUUGAUCUAAGGUUCAUUGCUUCAGUUGAUAAAAAUUUGAAGUUUUAUGUCAUAUGCUUUUCUUUAACAUUGAGGCAACAUUCAGCUGAUUGCUGUAGAAUCCUUGCCCUCACUGAUCUCACGCUGUAGAAUGCAGACAAGUAAAUAGGCAUCAUCAGUAGUAUAAUGAGGGUAGACUGCUGAAUACUGUGAAGUCUCGUACGGGUGGAAUCCCCUACUCACCUGGGAGGAAUGGAAAGGGACUGGAGAAGCAAUUAGCUUUAAUAAGGAAAUUGGGGAAGGGCCUUCCAAACAGAGGAAGCAGUAAGUGCAAAGGUUAGAAGGCAAACUCCAGAGAGGUUGUUGGGUGAAGACCAUAAUGCUAUUUAGGAGAACCUAGAGAUGUUCCUGAAGAGAUCUAGUUGAAGGCCUUGAACGCCGUGUGCAGAAAUUAGCUUUUGAAAGCUAAGAGGAAGCCACUGAAAGAUUUUAAGUAGAAGCAGCAUGGAAUUGGAUUUGCAUUUUAGGCAGAUCACCAUUAUACAGAAAUCAGAGGCAUGGAAAACAGUUUGGAGAAAACAGUAAUCUGUGAGAGAGUAAUGACUUGGACUGAGAGAGUGGCAAAUAGGAGUGAAGAAUAGGACCAAAGUGGUUAUUGAGAGCUUGGUGAUUUGGUUGACUGAAUAAGGGAUGACUGAGAGGGAGAUGUCAAAGAUGACUCCCAAGUUUGUUGGGGGAGCAGCUGGGAGGGCGGUAAUGUCUUCGUUGAGAUUAGAAACAAGAGAAGAGGCAUACAUGUUAGGGAAGGAAGAAGGUUCUCUUUUGACCAUGUAGUAUUUGAAGUGCUUGUGAGCUAACCAAGCAGAUAUGUGUAGUAGGCAAUUAGGUAUUCAUUCAUUUAAGUUGUUUUAAGAACACUGGUCUGUUCUGCACACUGGAACAGAUUAAACAGCAACAAGAGCAGUAAGGUUCCUGCUCCUGUUUCUAGUGGAGGGAACAGACUAAACAAGUUUUACCAAAAAAAUGAGAAUAUUACAUAAUAUGUUCUGUGAAGAAACUAAAAGGGUAUUUGGAUAAAGCCUUUCUUUGGGGAAGAGAACAGGCACAUUUUUGGUUGUUGGUCAGAGAUGGCCUCACUGAGAAGGUAUUCACUAAGACCUAAAUGGGAAUGAGUUAAAAGCAGUAUUCAAGAUCAGAUGGACUAUCAGGGCAACACCUAAGGCGAGAGUUUGUUUUGUUUAGCAAGGAGGGCGUUGUGGAUAGUCUAGAGAGCAAAGAAGGGAAUGGUAGAAGAUGAAGUCUUGUAGCCUUGGUAAGUUUAAGUGCUCUAGAAGCCCCUGAAAGCUUUUAAGGAAUGGAGUAACAUGAAUAGUAGCAGGAGAGGUAAAAUGGAUGGAUUGAAGAUCUAUGUUGUGAUUAGGCCCAGCUUGUAUUGCUGAAGAAUCAAACAUGAGUGAGGGAAAGGGAGCAAUCAAGAAUGAUUCCUAGGUUUGGGGCAUGGUUGUCUAGGCCAGCAGUGUCCAAUGUAAAUAUAACACGAGCCACAUACGUAAUUUUAUAGUACUAACGUUUACAAAGUAAAAAACAAAAGUUGAAAUUAAUUUUAAUACUGUGUUUUAUUUAACUCAGUAUAUCCAAAAUAGUAUCAUUUCAAAUGUGAUGAAUAUUUAAAAGUAUUGGGCUAGCCCUGGUGGCCCAAUGGUUAAGUUCAGUGUGCUCCGCUUCAGUGGGCUGGGUUCAGUUCCCAGGCAUGGACCUACAGCACUGUCUGUCAGUGGCCGUGCUGUGGCGGCUCACAUUACAGAAAAAAAAGAGGAAGAUUGGCAACAGAUGUUAGCUCAGGGCGAAUCUUCCUCAGAAAAAAAAUAUAUAUAGAUUGAAAAGUAUUAAACAUUUUUAAAUGUUUUACAUUCUUUUUCUCAUUACUAAGUAAGUGUUUGAAAUGUGUGUAUUUUACACUUAGAGCAUAUCUCAAUACUUGAUUUCAUAAAAUUUACAAUUAAAAAGUAGAUUUCACAUACUCAGGUCUUUCCAAACAUAGUUAAAAGUUUUUCCAGUAAUUGAGUUAUGUAUCAGAUUUUUAAUUUAAUUUAAUUUUUUUUUAAGAUGUUAUUUUUCCUUUUUCUCCCAAAACCCCCUGCCCCCCAGUACAUAGUUGUGUAUUUUUAGUUGUGGGUCCUUCUAGUUGUGGCAUGUGGGACGCCACCUCAGCAUGGCUUGAUGAGCUGUGCCAUGUCUGCACCCAGGCUGGUGAAACAGGCGAAACCCUGGGCCACCGAAGCAGAGCGCGCAAACUUAACCACUCGGCCACAGGGCCAGCCCCUAUUUAAUUUUAAAUUAAAGUUAAGAUUAAAAUUUCAUUUGCUAAAUUAGCCAUAUUUCAAGUGGUCAAUAGCCACAUGUGACUGGUUGCUCCUAUAUUGGACAGUACACUCUAGUGGAAUAGAGUACUGGAAAAUUAGAUUUAAAAAGUUGUGUGAAACCAGGCUGUAAAGGAUUGGGAUUUUACCCUAGAGGCAAGGGAAGCAGAGGAUGGUUUUUGAAGCAGGAAGUGACACAACUUUGUGCUUGAGGCUAGAAAAAGGCCACUAGGUGGCCAACUGGUGACUCAGGAACAAGAGCAACCCUUCAGUUGAGUCCACACAUUUUAGGCUCUGACCUCAGCCCUUCAGAAUCAGAAGUCUGAUUUUUGUCAAUGCUCUAGAGCAGUGCCACAAAAAGUAUGGUCCACAGGCCAGUGCCAGUCUGCAUGCCCUUUGUUAUUGGUCCAUGGCAAGGUAUUUACAGAAAUUGAGAGUAAGAAUUUUAAGAGUUUUAUAGCAAUUUAACAUUAAUUUUAUGUCUGUGGAUCUAAGAAAAAUUUUGGUCUCAUUUGUUGUAUAUGUUUUUUUUAAUUUCCCUUUCCUAGUAAUUUAUUUUCAUAUUUUAUAAAAUUGUCUAUGAUCUUUCACCACAGAUAAUUUUUGAAGCACUGUUCUACAGGCACUCAGGUGAAGGCAGUCAGAGGGACCACAUUCUCAGAAGACUUACCUAAAUCCAAAGGCCUUUUCUCACUUUAUAGUUAGCACUAUAGUGACUAAGAGAAGAAUGGACUCUGCUCAGUUUCUCCCUCCAUAUAAAAAUGGAAGAGAGAAUACAUGAAGUUGACUGCAUUACUUCCAGAAGGUUCAUUAGUGAAUUUGAGACCAGAGUAAGGGGAGUUAGUGGUAUUCUAACAGCAUGAGUCAAAUGCAUUCAUUUCUGCAAUAGAACUAUGUCUGCUUUGCUCCUCUCUAGACUUUAUAGAUCACAAAUCAAUAAAAAAUAAAGGAUCUGGCCCCGUAGCGUAGUGGUUCAGUGUACACCACUUCAGAGGCCCGGGUUCGCAGGUUCGGAUCUCAGAUAUGGACCUACAUCAGCCAUGCUGUGGUGGUGACCCACAUAUAAAAUAGAGGAGGAUUGGCACAGAUGUUAGCUCAGGGCUAAUCUUCCUCAGGAAAAAAAAGAAACCCACAAUGAGAUACUUCUGUACGUGCACAAUAAUGGCAAAAAUGGAAAACAGAAAAUGCCACAUAUUGGGCAGGAGUUGAAACAACUGAAACUCUGCAUUGCUGGUGGGAAUGUAGAUUGGUAUAGCCACUUUGGAAAAUUUGAAGUUCAAAAAACAGGCAAACCAAACUAGAUUUAGGAACAUAAUGUUUAGGUAGUAAAAACUAUAAAGAAAAGAAAGGAAAUGGCUAGCUUUGGGUGAGGGAGUAAUGCUUAGACAGGUACAAGGGGACUUCUGGCAUGCUGUCCAUGUCUGUUUCUUGAGUAGGAAUUACAUGAGUUCACUUUGUGAUUCAAUGAGCUGUAGGUUUUGUGGUGGGUGUACUUUUCAGUAUGUGUUGUAUAUCUAAUGGUUUAAAAAAAUUUGCUGGAGUUAACAAGUUAGAAAAUAUGUCCCUGGGCAAUGCUGGAUAUACACUACCAACUACUACUUGCUAACUGAGCCCAUCUUUCUAUAUAUGCAUUACAAAUGUGAAAGAUAAGGUAGGCUUGAAUUCUAGGAGUGGCAAUGGUGAAGGAGAGGAGAGACAGAUGCACAAAAUACUGCAGAACCUGAGGCAGUAUGGGAAGGUGAAGGAGCAUGGCAGUUGGAGUGAGGAGCCCCAAGUUCAAGACUUAACUGGUUUUUAGUCCAGGCUCUAGUCACUCUCUAAGCAUAUGACCUGGCCUAUCUCCUAACUUACCUUAAUUUCAUUUUUCUCACCUGGAGGGUGGGGUUGAUAAAACUGACAAUCUUUCGUUUGUAACCUUUUGUAAGCUAUUGAAAUGCCAUAUAAAAUUUAUAUUGAUGUCUGAUUCAGUGUGAUGGGGAAGGAGUUAAGGAUGAUUGAGAUUUUGAGCCAGAGUGGAGAAGGUAAUGGUGGUAGCAUGAACGAAAUGAAAAAACCAAGAGGAGAAGCAGAUUUGGAGAAAUAUGACAUUCUAUUUUAUACAUGUUGAGUUUAAGAUCAUGCCAGAACAUCAAGAUGGAAUUAUGAAACAGACACAGAACUGAAGAUUUGGUGCUCUGAAAAAAAAGGUCAGAAAUGGUGAUAGGAAAUUAGAAGUUACCCACAUAAGGGUAAUAACUAAAGCCGGGAGAGUGAAUGAGAUCGUUGAGAGAGAACAUAGGAAAACUGAGUACUGAGGACAGAGAAGGAGAGAAGGAAAGGGAGAAGGAAAGGAAAUCAACAUUUACUGAGCCCCUGUUAAACUGUGUGCCAGCUGCUCUACGUUCGUUACCUCAUUUAUUCCCCUCAAAUUCCAGGGUGGCUGUUCUGACCUCGUGUAGCAGACUCUAGACUCACAGCAAGACAAAAAACCAGUGUUUGAAACCAGCUUGGCUCCAGUUUAUGCAGUGCCCUACUCCAUUCCUGGAGAACCAAGUGUCUCUUGCAGAAGCCCAGGGGGAGACUGUGAGUCAAGGAAAGAUAAGCCCUGAGAAAAGACCAUUGGAUUUUUGUGACCAAGGGGUUCCUGGAACAUGGGCAGCAGUGCGUGCACUCUCCUGUUGUGUUUUUGUGAGUGUGGGUAAUCCAGACACGUUGGUGUUCUAGACCUCUGGCAGUAAGAAAAAAGUCGAGAUGGUAACUGUAAAAAUUAGUAUAAUGAAAACAAAGUCAGUUAUUAAAACCCGGCUAAAUACUCUUGCCAGCCAAGUGCUUUGGAUCUGAAGGCUUGAGAGAGAGAUGGGAGUAACUCUCUGUGAUUCACAGUGACUUGCUGUUCUUGGCCGCUUGUUUCAUGUACUGCCUGGAACCGCCGUGAGUAUCGCCAGUGGUGUGGGUCCUUCAUGUUGGGAAACACUGGAGAGUUGUGUAAUAAUGGUCACUGUUUACAGUGCAGCUUCAGUCACCUGAAAUUCUAAGGGAAAAGACCAAGGUGGCUUUGCCAGCCAAGGUCAUUAAAACUUAGAAUGAAAGAUAGUUUCUGCUUGUUAGUGAACACACCUUUUGGAAAGCAGCAGUAUCUCCUCAAAAUUUAAAGUUAUCCACUGUAAUCGAUGAGGAAGACUUUUCCCUAGUAGGUUUAUUAAAACAGUUUAUUUAUUUACUACUUGAAUAGCUUUUUACAUGAAGUUUUGAAAAGUAAAAGAAAAAUGUUCCACCACAACACAAUUACUGGUUUCCUCCUGCAUGUUUUCAGAUUUACAGAUGAAUAAUGUGUCCAUUUUUGGCAGGCAGAACACUGAAGAAUUUUAAAUUGGUUGCAGGAGUAUGAUGUCUUCUGUCUUUGUCUGCUCCCUUCUCUGAGAUCAAGAGAAGACAGCCAGAAGCAAGUGAAAUUCUUUGGCAAAGUCACUGAUCUCAGAGUUCCCCAGAGGCACCAAGAACUUUGAUUUCCAGGAAUUAAUUAGGCACGGCCACUUCGCUCAAUCUUAUAUUUUAUACCCCAGAGAUAAGGUGGCAUUUGGGCAACCUUAUUUUCUUACUCUAUUUUAAGGCAGUGGACAUUUAAUAAUUGUUGGUUGGUUGUGGCUUCCAGCCAGAUUUUUUUUAAUUAUUUGAGUAGAUAGUCUAUCCACUGGUGCAAAAAACUUUUCAAACGUCAUCUACUGUCUUCCAUCCACGCAGUUCCCACCCCCAAGGUAACCUCUACUCUUAUUUUCUUUUGUAUUUUUCCAGAGUUCUUUUCAUGCCUAUACAUGUAAGAAAGAAUAAAUGUUCUUCUUUUUCCCCAUUUUUAUGAAACGAUGCCAUAUACACUCUUCUGCACUUUGUACUUGACAUCUUGGGCUUUUCCAUAUAAAGUAUCAUUUUUCUUACCCCUGCAGAUUAUUUAACCAAUCAGUAUCCAAUUGAGGGACAUUGAGUUUCUAAUCUUUUGUAUUCUAUUUAGUGCUUGGAUGAAUGUCUUUGUACAUACAUCUUCUUUUCUUCUAUAUUUAAGUACGCCUCAUCUCACUUCCAAGAGUGGAAUUGCUCUGCCAAAGGGCAUGUAUGAAUUUUUAAUUUUGAUAGCUACUGCCAUAUUGCCCUCCAUGUACCAAAUGUUUCUCCACAGCAUUGCUGGUAGACUAGAAUGCUACCAAAUUCUUGGAUUUUUCCCUACCAGUUUUUGAAUGGCAGAUUAUUUUGAGUCCUUUCUAAUAUUUUCAGAAUCAAUAACAAAAUCAUUUGGGUAAAUUGGGGGAAAUGAGGUUCAGUUUUCAGAAUUUGUUCAGGAUACAGGAAUUCUUUGCUGCAGCUCCUGCAGCUACACACCCACAACUAGUGAAAACAUGGUUGCUUAUGCAGUCGAAGCAGGUAGCAGUACUGGAAAGGGGCCAAGAAUGACUACAAACUGCUCCACCUACACUUCUUUUUUUUUUGGCAAAUUUGCAAGCCUAGCAGGAUCUAAAAAAAUCCUUCAGCCUUUGUUUGAAUUGCAGAGAAUCAACCUGGUAAGAGGGAGGAAAUUAUUCAUUUCUUAAAAAUUCUCCUAAUAUGAUAGGAGCUGAAAAUGAUUUUUGUUUACUUUUGCUUUGGUGCUAAGGUGGCACAGGGAGGGGAAAGUGGGGGUAUUAGGCUGCGGGUUCCACCUGCACUGGGGGUUGUAUUGGAGUGUGAAGAAAGAUUUCUAGGAUUGAUGAUCUUAGUUACUUGGAGUCAGAUUAACUCAGGGAAAGGAAAAGAGUUAGAUAUGGCAUGCUAGUUUACUGACUUUUCAAAUUUUUUAAUCAUUUUGUAAAUUUGUCAGUUUGCUGUGGACUGAAUGUGAAUCCCUACGGUCCAUAACCUCUAACCCCUAAUGUGAUGGUAUUUGGAGAUGGGACCUGUGGGAAGUAAUUAGGGUUAAGUUAGGUCAUGAGAGUGGGUUCCUCCUGAUGUGAUUAGUGGCCUUAUGAGAGAGAGAGGUCUUUCAGCUGGAACACAGAGGAAAGGCCAUGUGAGGACACAGUGAGGAGUCUGUCUGCAAGCCAGGACAAGAGCUUUCACUGGGAACCAGAUCGGCCAGCACCUUGAUCUUGGACUUCCCCGCCUCUGGAGCUGUGAGGAAUAAAUUUCUGUUGUUUAAACCACAGUCUGUGGUAGUUUGGUAUGGCAGCCUGAGUUGACUAAGACAGGGUGUCUCUAGUUUUCCACAGAUUCAUAAAGAUCCAUCCAACAAAAUUAUCCUAACUGUUAAUAAUGUCCUGUCUUUCUUCAGAUUAACUGCAACCAACGUUUUGUCUGUGCAGUUCCUGUGCAAUUUGGAAACCACGAACUCUUUAGGAAUGGCAGGACAUGCCAAGUUUGCAAUGUAAGGGAGCUUGGGACAACCGUCUACUCCCAAGCUGGUUCUAACAAUGGAGCUUUAAGAAUACUUAUAUAUAGUAUGGCAGCGUUUAACAAAAGACCAACCCUGAAAUGUGUGGAGGGAAGAGACCAGAUUCUACAAGCACUUGGAGUUAAAGCAAGACUUGAAUCCAAGAAAGGGUCCAUCCAUUGAGGCCUUAAGUGGGAUCUGGGUGGACUUGCUGCCGGUGCCAUUAUGGCAUGUGAAGUCACCACUCUGGAACAUAAACCCUGGAAUAAGUCUGUGACAGCAGGAAACUAUAACUAAAUCCUUUCUCCCCACUGCUCAAGAGCAUGAAAGUUUUCUGCUGCCUUUGGAACUGUGUCUGCAAACAGCUCAAAAGAGAUGGCCUGAGGGCUCGCCAUGGACAUCAAUGUCGGAAGAACACAGUGGGGUUGACCAUAGCUCGGUGGCACUGACAGCAGUGUCUGCAAAGCCAAACAUUCUUCAUUCUUUAAUCCAAAUUGCUUGUCCUCCCUGAAGAGAAAUCUAUUUUAUUUAUACCUUUAUCUCCACAAGCAAGGACUUUACCCUAAAUAAGACUUUAUCACUUUUCUUUCAGAUUAUUGAGUCUUGUUCUCUUUGAAUUUAACCUUCCCUUCCUGCCCCCAGACCAUCCUGCCUGCCUACCACUGUUGUCUUCGUCAGAUAUUGCUUUCAGCUUGAGACUCCGCUGAGCAUUACCCUACAGGGUACCUAUGUGGACAUCUAGGCUCAUCCUAGAUCUGGACCUUUCCAGCCCUGGGUUUGGGCAGACCUGCAGUCAAGGAUGAUAGUAUGUGAGAACACUUAGCAUAGUUCCUGGCACAUAGCAGGCAAUGUUAGCUUCUUUUUCCUCUUUUUAUCAAGUUAGUUUCUUUACUGCCCCAAAGACUACCAAGUCUUUGAGUUCAUAUCUGACUCAGAAAUUAUUCUCCCUCUGAGAAACAUAUUCACUCCAAUUUUCUGCCUCUCUAAAUCUAUCAAACAUAAACAAAUUCAAAUUCUACCUUCAAAUUUUAAAACAAUCUUGAAAGUCACAACAGUAAGAACAAAUGGAAAAUUAAACCUUGUUCUUGGUUAAGAAAUUUAACAUCAUAAAAAUAUUAUGUCUUUAUUUAAUAUAUGUCAAAAAUACAAGAUUUUUUGGGGAUCCAUGGAAAUGGGAGGAGGGGAGCUAGCCAAGUGGAUUCUAAAGCUCAUAUGGAAAAAAUAAAUAAGCACAAAUGGACAGAAAACCCUGCCAAAGAACACUAAGGGGAGACUAGCAUCUGCUAGAUAUUAGUCAGAUUAUAAAGCCCCAAGGGCACUAAUCCACCCUCAUGACCUAAACACCUCCCAAAGGCGCCCCUCUCCAAAUACCAGCACAGCAGGGAUUAGGUUUCAACAUAGGAAUUUGGGGAGGACACAGACAUUCAGUUUAGAGCACCAAAUAUUUAUUAUAGGGGCUGUAGAAAAGAAGAGGAAUCUAUAAGUACUGGUAGGGAAACAUCUCCAGCUUUAUAUAAAGAAUUAUGAUUAAGUUUAAAAAGGAAAGUACAGAAAGUGUCUCUAGUGUGCUACCUUUAGUAAAGGGAGAAGAUAUGUAUAUGAUUGUAUAUGCUUGUAUUCAUAUAAAGAAGCCCUCAAAGAAUCCCCAAGACACUAAUAAAAGUGGUUACCCAUAAAUGUAAGCCCAUGGGAGCAGGACUUUUCAAUGUACACCGUUUGCUGUUGGCGGUUUUUUUGUUUUGUUUGGUGAGGAAGAUUGGCCGUGAGCUAACAUCUGUUGCCAAUCUUCCUCUAUUUUAUAUGCGGGAUGCUGCCACACCAUGGUUUGAUGAAGAGUGUGUAGGUGCCCGCCCAGGAUCCAAACCCACUAACCGUGAGCCAUUGAAGCGGAGCAUAUGAAUUUAAGC